GACGAACGCUGGCGGCGUGCUUAACACAUGCAAGUCGAACGGAAAGGCCCUGCUUUUUUGGGGUGCUCGAGUGGCGAACGGGUGAGUAACACGUGAGUAACCUGCCCUUCACUUUGGUAUAACUUCAGGAAACUGGGGCUAAUACCGGAUCGGAUCUCCUGCUGCAUGGUGGGGGUUGGAAAGUUUCGGCGGUUGGGGAUGGACUCGCGGCUUAUCAGCUUGUUGGUGGGGUAGUGGCUUACCAAGGCUUUGACGGGUAGCCGGCCUGAGAGGGUGACCGGCCACAUUGGGACUGAGAUACGGCGCAGACUCCUACGGGAGGCAGCAGGGGGGAAUAUUGCACAAUGGGAGGAAGCCUGAUGCAGAAACGCCGCGUGCGGGAUGACGGCCUGCGGGGUGUAAACCGCUGUCGCCUGUGACGAAGCGUGAGUGACGGUAAUGGGUAAAGAAGCACCGGCUAACUACGUG
rnacentral:rRNA from 1 species